UACGGGGGGGCAAGCGUUGUUCGGAAUUACUGGCGUAAAGGGCUCGUAGGCGGCCAACUAAGUCAGACGUGAAAUCCCUCGGCUUAACCGGGGAACUGCGUCUGAUACUGGAUGGCUUGAGUUUGGGAGAGGGAUGCGGAAUUCCAGGUGUAGCGGUGAAAUGCGUAGAUAUCUGGAGGAACACCGGUGGCGAAGGCGGCAUCCUGGACCAACACUGACGCUGAGGAGCGAAAGCCAGGGAGCAAAGCGGG
rnacentral:rRNA from 1 species